rnacentral:lncRNA from 1 species
CAGGCGAUUGAUGCCUCUUUCCGGCUAAUCAAGUUUUGCGAUAGUUUGUACAUAAUCUCCUGUAUAUAUAAAAAUUAGGAGACAUAACAUAAGACUAAUAUUGUGCUGAUAAAUUAAUUAAUAUAUACGCCCUGCAGCCCUAACUGGUAGUUACACAUCAAUACUUAAUUUGCUGGAUUGUACGAUAUACAACUUCAUAAUUAAUUAAAACAUGUUCAGAUAGAUAAUAUGUGGAAGAUUAUAUAUGAAUUAAUAUAUAUUUGUCGACCUUAAUCAAUAUAUAUUACCUCCCUCUUAGAAGCUUCACUAUUGUCGCAAGCAAACUUGUUCCUGGCAUUGCUGCAAGUUGAACCCGAAAAACAAGCAUUAGAAGUACGGUUGAGUUAUAAAAUUUCACAUCGGACAAUUAAGACCAGAAGAACUAUGAUGGUUUUGAAAGCAAUGAGAAAUUAAACAAUUUUACAUUUCAUCAAUAAAUGGUAUACUAUAAAAUUGAAGAAGGUAUUAAUUAUAUAUAUAGUCAAAUGUUCGAAAUUGGAAUAGGGGAUGCAUGUGUCUUAGCUAUAUAUAGCUAUGGCAUAUCAGUUAUACAUCAGCUAGGGUAUCUUUUUAUAUUAUAAGUCGAUCUUUAUGACGUCAUAUAUAUAUAUUGAAAUUUGUAAUAUCAAGAAUAAGUUUAAUGUGAAGUGUAUAUAAUGAACGGUUGAUGAAGUUUCAAUAAAUAAAUUUAGGUAGAUAAUUAAAAUUAUCUGUUACGUUUUUUUUCUUUCCUUUUUCUCGAAAUUCAUUUGUACUUGUAAUGAUAUCCCUGAUCCAAAAGUGAGGGACUUCCAAAUAAAUAUCCCUCCAGAAUUUCUUGGUCGAUUGUAAACUGUUUUGGGACAGACAUUGUUUCUUAGAAAGCAAUCUCUUGCCGUACGUGAUCUCCUGAAAGACUUGUAUUUUAGUCCUUAACAUGAAUUUAAUUAUAAUAAACAAAAAUUAAGUAUUUAACGUGAAAUUAAGUCCAAGUAAUUAAGACAAAAUGAGAGUCUAAACCAGCUUAAUUAAUGAUAUGAUAUCAAUAUCAAGAUUUUCACUAUGCAUGGCAUUAUGAUAUUAGAAAUUUAAUUUUAAUUAGUACGUAGCUGAUCAGAUUUAUCUUUAGGCAGAUAAAAUAAUUAAGCAUAUUAAAGACGUAUAAUAAUUACUGUAUAUAGAAGAUAACAAUAUAUAUAAACACCUAUAUAAAUAUUAAUUAUGCAUGAUAUUUCUUCAAGGUGAUAUAUAGCUUACCUUUGGCCAUUCGAUUUUGGUUUACAACCUCCUUCAGCAACCUUAGCAGCUGAAUCUCCCUGAGUAACGUUCCUCGAACCCAUUAUAUAUACCUCUAACUAGUAAAUGGGGAUCAAAAAGAUAAAAUUUUAGAGGAAGAACAAGAACUCAAGAAGUAGA